CACGUAGGGGGCGAGCGUUGUCCGGAUUUAUUGGGCGUAAAGAGCUCGUAGGCGGCUCGGUAAGUCAGGUGUGAAAACUCUAGGCUCAACCUAGAGACGCCACCUGAUACUGCCGUGGCUAGAGUCCGGUAGGGGAGCAUGGAAUUCCUGGUGUAGCGGUGAAAUGCGCAGAUAUCAGGAGGAACACCGGUGGCGAAGGCGGGUCUCUGGGCCGUAACUGACGCUGGAGGAGCGAAAGCGUGGGGAGCGAACAGG
rnacentral:rRNA from 1 species